UCCCUGUUGGCUCAGAUGGUAAAGCAUCUGCUGUCAAUGCAGGAGACCUGGGUUCAAUCCCUGGAUCAGGAA
rnacentral:tRNA from 1 species